rnacentral:rRNA from 1 species
CACGUAGGGUGCGAGCGUUGUCCGGAAUCAUUGGGCGUAAAGCGCGUGUAGGCGGUCCGGUAAGUCCGCUGUGAAAGUCGGGGGCUCAACCCUCGGAUGCCGGUGGAUACUGUCGGGCUUGAGUACGGAAGAGGCGAGUGGAAUUCCUGGUGUAGCGGUGAAAUGCGCAGAUAUCAGGAGGAACACCAAUUGCGAAGGCAGCUCGCUGGGACGUUACUGACGCUGAGACGCGAAAGCGUGGGGAGCAAACAGG